GCCGGGGAUGAGCAAUUGAGCAUAUCACUGACUGUUGGUGAGGUGACUACAUUUCUGAGGC
rnacentral:misc_RNA from 1 species